rnacentral:rRNA from 1 species
GACGAACCGAGCGAACGUUAUUCGGAAUCACUGGGCUUAAAGGGCGCGUAGGCGGGCCGUCAAGUCGAGGGUGAAAUCCGGCAGCUUAACUGUCGAAGUGCCUUUGAUACUGAUGAGCUCGAGGGAGGUAGGGGUAUGCGGAACUUCCGGUGGAGCGGUGAAAUGCGUUGAUAUCGGAAGGAACGCCGGUGGCGAAAGCGGCGUACUGGACCUCUUCUGACGCUGAGGCGCGAAAGCUAGGGGAGCAAACGGG